rnacentral:tRNA from 1 species
CUUUUUUAUAGUGUAUUAAACACGUUACAUUUUCGUUGUAAAACUGAAGAGUCACUCUUCUAAAAAU